CAUCAGGCCAUUCACGAGACACCACUGGAUCCAGAUGCGGCCUUACCUGCAGGCCAUGACAAGUAUCAUGCCUUAGAGGAAUUUCCAAAAAAUUGCACAGCUCACCCAUCUCAGCGUCCCGUAUCUAAGACCUCUCCAGACAGAUGCAACCACUACUUGCAACACAAGGAGAAUCCUGCAGUGGUGUUUCUCCCGUCAGUCACAGUGGCCAAGCACACCACUGCUAACGGGCCCAAAACUGGUGGUGCAGAGGGCAGCUGCGUUUGGCCAUCUUUGGCACAUGUUUGGAGCA